UGCGCAGGCGGUUGUGUAAGACAGAUGUGAAAGCCCACGGCUCAACCGUGGAGGGUCAUUGGAAACUGGAGAACUUGAGUACAGAAGAGGAAAGCGGAAUUCCACGUGUAGCGGUGAAAUGCGUAGAGAUGUGGAGGAACACCAGUGGCGAAGGCGGCUUUCUGGUCUGUAACUGACGCUGAGGCGCGAAAGCGUGGGGAGCAAACAGGAUUAGAUACCCUGGUA
rnacentral:rRNA from 1 species